rnacentral:tRNA from 1 species
GCCCGGUUCGUCUAUCGGUUAGGAUAAGAGCUUUACACGCUCCAGAGGAGGGUUCGAUUCCCUCACCAGGUA